UACGGAGGAUGCAAGCGUUAUCCGGAAUGAUUGGGCGUAAAGCGUCCGCAGGUGGCUAUGUAAGUCUGCUGUUAAAGAGUGAGGCUCAACCUCAUAAAAGCAGUGGAAACUACAUGGCUAGAGUGCGUUCGGGGCAGAGGGAAUUCCUGGUGUAGCGGUGAAAUGCGUAGAUAUCAGGAAGGACACCGGUGGCGAAAGCGCUCUGCUAGGCCGCAACUGACACUGAGGGACGAAAGCUAGGGGAGCGAAUGGG
rnacentral:rRNA from 1 species